rnacentral:rRNA from 1 species
UGGCGAACGGGUGAGUAACACGUGAGCAACCUGCCUUUCAGUGGGGGACAACAUUUGGAAACGAAUGCUAAUACCGCAUAAGACCACAGUGUCGCAUGGCACAGGGGUCAAAGGAUUUAUCCGCUGAAAGAUGGGCUCGCGUCCGAUUAGCUAGAUGGUGAGGUAACGGCCCACCAUGGCAACGAUCGGUAGCCGGACUGAGAGGUUGAACGGCCACAUUGGGACUGAGACACGGUCCAGACUCCUACGGGAGGCAGCAGUGGGGAAUAUUGCACAAUGGGGGAAAGCCUGAUGCAGCGACGCCGCGUGGAGGACGAAGGUCUUCGGAUUGUAAACUCCUGUCCCAGGGGACGAUUAUGACGGUACCCUGGGAGGCAGCACCGGGUAACUACGUGCCAGGAAGCCGUGUUAAAACGUAAGGGUGCAAGCGUUGUCCGGAAUUACUGGGUGUAAAGGGAGCGCAGGCGGAUUGGCAAGUUGGGAGUGAAAUCUAUGGGCUCAACCCAUAAAUUGCUUUCAAAACUGUCAGUCUUGAGUGGUGUAGAGGUAGGCGGAAUUCCCGGUGUAGCGGUGGAAUGCGUAGAUAUCGGGAGGAACACCAGUGGCGAA